rnacentral:rRNA from 1 species
GGGUGAGUAACACGUAGGUAAUCUACCUUUGGAUGGGGAAUAACAACCGGAAACGGUUGCUAAUACCGCAUAAUGCAGCGGCACCUAAUGGUGACAGUUGUUAAAGCGGGGGAUCGCAAGACCUCGCGUCUAAAGAGGAGCCUGCGGCGGAUUAGCUAGUUGGUAAGGUAACGGCUUACCAAGGCGAUGAUCCGUAGCCGGCCUGAGAGGGCGGUCGGCCACACUGACACUGACAUACGGGUCAGACUCCUACGGGAGGCAGCAGUCGGGAAUUUUGGGCAAUGGGCGAAAGCCUGACCCAGCAACGCCGCGUGAAGGAUGAAAUCCCUCGGGAUGUAAACUUCGCAAGAACGGGAAGAAUAAGUUGGUGUGAAUAUCACCAGCGAUGACGGUACCGUUUGUAAGCUCCGGCUAACUCCGUGCCAGCAGCCGCGGUAAUACGGGGGGAGCAAGCGUUGUUCGGAUUUACUGGGCGUAAAGGGCGCGUAGGCGGCCACCGCAAGUCAAUUGUGAAAUCUCCGGGCUUAACUCGGAAAGGUCAACCGAUACUGCGGGGCUAGAGUGCAGAAGGGGCAACUGGAAUUCUCGGUGUAGCGGUGAAAUGCGUAGAUAUCGAGAGGAACACCUGCGGCGAAGGCGGGUUGCUGGGCUGACACUGACGCUGAGGCGCGAAAGCUAGGGGAGCGAACGGGAUUAGAUACCACGGUAGUCCUAGCCUUAAACGAUGGAUGCUUGGUGUCUGGGGUUUUAUAGUCCCCGGGUGCCGUCGCUAACGCUUUAAGCAUCCCGCCUGGGGAGUACGGUCGCAAGACUGAAACUCAAGGAAUUGACGGGGACCCGCACAAGCGGUGGAGCAUGUGGUUUAAUUCGACGCAACGCGAAGAA